UAGGACGCCUCGGAGCCUGCCAUGGCCCCGCACGGCGCCCCCUCCCCUGGCCGCCGGCGGCCGCCAAUCAGCCCAGCUUCCUUGCCGGCUGGCCCGGCGCGGCUCCGGCGGGGGGCGCUACGCGGGGGACGCAGGAGACGAGGUCCCUCCAGGAGGAUCCUUCGGUCUGUACCUCCUUCAGUCCGGUGCUCCACAGGAGAAUAGGGAUCCGCAGUUCAGACUCUGGCGGGCGGGCCAGGAAACUGCCGGACUGCGCCAGGAUCCAUCCUUGGAGAAGGGAGUGAGUGCCUGUAAGGCACCAACGUCUGCCUCCUGGUCUCCUUCUGGCUGGGCUCCCGACUGCCACCUCCUCCGACUCCCGGGGAGCUCUCCCGCCGCCGCCCCCGCUGGUUUCUCCACCGCUCACUCUUCAAGGUGCCGACAGAGGUCAGAAGGGAGCAUAAGGUCCUCCGUCCCCACCCUCCAACCCAGACUGGAGUUCCAGCAGUUGUAAGCCAGCUGACAUGGGUACUGGCAACUGAACUUCGUGUUCCUCUGGAAGAGCUGUAAGUACUCUUCAACACUGAGCCAUCUCUCCG
rnacentral:lncRNA from 1 species